AACUUUGGACAAUGGGCGCAAGCCUGAUCCAGCCAUGCCGCGUGCNGGAAGAAGGCCUUCGGGUUGUAAACUGCUUUUGNACGGAACGAAAAGGUCUGGGCUUAUACCNUAGACUNNUGACUGUACCGUAAGAAUAAGCACCGGCUAACUACGUGCCAGCAGCCGCGGUAAUACGUAGGGUGCGAGCGUUAAUCGGAAUUACUGGGCGUAAAGCGUGCGCAGGCGGCCGUGUAAGACAGGUGUGAAAUCCCCGGGCUCAACCUGGGAACUGCUGUUUGUGACUGCGUGGCUGCAGUGCGGCAGAGGGGGAUGGAAUUCCGCGUGUAGCAAUGAAAUGCGUAGAUAUGCGGAGGAACACCGAUGGCGAAGGCUAUCCCCUGGGCCUGCACUGACGCUCAUGCACGAAAGCGUGGGGAGCAAACAGGAUUAGAUACCCUGGUAGUCCACGCCCUAAAC
rnacentral:rRNA from 1 species